rnacentral:rRNA from 1 species
GAUGAACGCUGGCGGCGUGCCUAAUACAUGCAAGUCGAACGCAUUGUGGUUGAAAUGAUAUGAAGAACUUGUUCAGAUUUGAUUUUCAACAUUGCAAUGAGUGGCGAACGGGUGAGUAACACGUGGGAAACCUACCUCUUAGCAGGGGAUAACAUUUGGAAACAAAUGCUAAUACCGUAUAAUAAUUAAAACCGCAUGGUUUUAGUUUAAAAGAUGGUCUUGCUAUCACUAAGAGAUGGUCCCGCGGUGUAUUAGUUAGUUGGUGAGGUAAUGGCUCACCAAGACAAUGAUACAUAGCCGAGUUGAGAGACUGACCGGCCACAAUGGGACUGAGACACGGCCCUAUACUCCUACGGGAGGCAGCUAGUAGGGAAUCUUCCACAAUGGACGAAAGUCUGAUGGAGCAACGCCGCGUGUGUGAUGAAGGGUUUCGGCUCGUAAAACACUGUUGUAAGAGAAGAAUGACAUUGAGAGUAACUGUUCAAUGUGUGACGGUAUCUU